rnacentral:lncRNA from 1 species
UGCCCACUCCAACAGCUGCAUCUCUUUCAUCUUCAACCUUGUAGGACCUUAUAUAUUCUAUUGAAUGUUCCGGUUUGACCUGUACAAUAUAUGUAAAAUGGCCAAUGGCUAGAGUAGAAAGCUACAUCACAGAUAACAAGAAUAACAUGCAAAAUUUAUGUCAGCAGCAUGCUACGCAUACCCAAUUCAUGAUUUCCCAUAAAAUCUCUCCUGCAGGCUGUUGUCACAAUGUUCAACUACCAACAAUUCCGGCACAUUGGGGCACCUGGGUGGCAGCUUGGGUGGACAUGGGCAAAGAAGGAGGUCAUAUGGUCGAUGGUUGGGGCACAGACUACCGAACAGGGUGACUGUUCGAAGUUUAAGGGCAACACUCCCCACUGCUGCAAAAAAGAUCCCACGAUCGUCGAUUUACUUCCAGGCACUCCAUACAACAUGCAGAUUGCCAAUUGCUGCAAAGCAGGAGUUAUAAAUACAUUUAACCAGGACCCGGCAAAUGCUGCUGCCUCCUUCCAGAUUAGUGUAGGUCUUGCUGGGACUACCAAUAAGACUGUUAAGGUGCCGAAGAACUUCACUCUUAAGACUCCAGGUCCUGGGUACACAUGUGGGCGUGCCAUUGUUGGCAGGCCGACAAAGUUUUUCACCUCGGAUGGGCGCAGGGCAACCCAAGCUCUUAGUAAGUUUCUCAUCUAUUGGACUCUACAUUUUACUUGCUAUCAGUUGCUUGUGUACUUUGUGGAAAUGAGGUACAUCUAAAUCAUCGUAUUGUUCAGCGUGUUCCUAUUCCUUAAUCAGAAUUUCAGGUUACGUUACUUGCCAGAUUAGUUUUUUUCUCGAACAUGCAGGAGAGCUGCGUAUCUAUAUAUUAAGAAGUACUUGCCAGAUUAGUAAAGAAAUGAAAACGUUUUAACAGGAGGGAUUUAUUCUCAAAGAAGGAAUGCUAACUGAUAUCUUUUGACAAUAAGCUGCUGCUAGGCCCAAUAAAAUGUAGUCUUUUUUUUUGUUCUUCACAAAAUAAUAAAUUAAAAUUGCAGAUAGUUGUAGGAAAGUUUCCGAUUCCAUACAAGUUGCUGUUCUGCCAAAAUUUUAUUGUAGAGGUUUUUAUUUCACUUGAUGGUUCUUAAUAAAGACAUUCUCUAUCUGCAGUGACAUGGAAUGUGACUUGCACAUAUUCCCAAUUUCUUGCUCAAAAGACUCCAUCCUGCUGUGUCUCUCUUUCAUCAUUUUACAAUGACACAAUUGUGAACUGCCCAACAUGCUCUUGUGGCUGCCAAAAUCCAAAUGGGUCAAACUGUGUGAAGUGAGUUUACCUACUUUUUACUCUUAAUACACUUCAUACUAAGGUUCUAUUUUGUCUUUAUAAAUGUCUAAUGAGUAUGGUUUCAUUUUCACAGUGAGGAUUCACCUAAUCUACAAUCUGCAAUUGAUGGCCCUGGAAAAUGGACUGGUCAGCCUCUUGUACAAUGCACUUCCCACAUGUGCCCGAUAAGAAUCCAUUGGCAUGUGAAGCUCAACUACAAGGAAUACUGGAGAGUGAAAAUCACUAUCACCAACUUCAACUUCCGCAUGAAUUACACGCAGUGGAACUUAGUCGCUCAGCAUCCAAACUUUGAUAAUAUCACUCAGCUGUUCAGCUUCAACUACAAACCACUUACCCCAUAUGGCAGUGGCAUAAGUAAGAAACUUGUCUUCUUUUCAAAAAAAGAAAUCAAAAUAAUCUCCCUCCCUCCCCUGAUGUUGUUUGCUUGUCCCAUUUUCAGAUGAUACGGCUAUGUUCUGGGGUGUAAAAUUCUACAAUGAUUUGCUGAUGCAAGCUGGUAAACUUGGGAAUGUGCAAUCAGAACUACUUCUCCGCAAGGACUCCCAGACUUUCACCUUCGAAAAGGGAUGGGCCUUCCCACGCCGAGUGUACUUCAAUGGUGACAACUGUGUCAUGCCAUCUCCUGAAAACUAUCCAUGGUUGCCCAACGCAAGCCCUCUAACAAAACAACCGCUGACCCUCCCACUUUUAGUAUUCUGGGUUGUGUUGGCUACUCUGUUGGCAUAUGCAUGAUGAGUGGGAUCAAGAGGUUUAGUGAGCUUCAAGUUGAUGUCAGAUUCCAUGAGGUGCACUGCAACGGGUCAUUUGUUCAUUCAAUUCCAUGGUUGCACAGAAGAGAUGACACCACGCUGAGAAAAAAAGUUUAUGUGUGUGUGUUUUUGUAAGUUAAAGGGCCGAAAUGUAUUUCUUGUUUCGUAUAUACUGGCCCCACAACACUUAGUUACUGCAAACUAGGUAAUUACAGUUGCACCUUUUGUAUUUUAUAGCAAACUCAGAAUUUUUCAUUGGAUUAUAUGACCUCUUGUAGUAAAUGCGCGGUUUUCGUUUUGUAAGAUUUGUUGAACAGAAAAGACAAUGAUGAUUGAGAUCACUAAGUUCUGGCAUCUUAAUUCAUUCCUGCUGCUCACUGAGCUUUUUGAGCUAAAUAGAUAACAUCUACUAAUGGUCAUUUUCACUGAACCAAAAGAGCAAGAACACAGAACAAGAAUAAUUGCAACACUGGGUUUAUUUACUACAGAAACUGCAAACCGCAAUCAUGAAUUGGCGCUCAUGUUAAUUUGCAGCAUCAAUUAAGAUGAUCUAUGACUGUGAAUCGUAAAAUGACCUAUCAAUAAAAGGAUGAUGUAAAUUCUAGUUGGCCUGGGAACUCCUAGGAGCCUGCUUAGUUGCUGUGCCUUGUCACAUACCAAAUGCUUAGGAAGCAGUUCUGAGCCGCUGAGAAGAAUAGCAAAAGGAUAGUUUGCUGAUAGUUGUGGCUUGUGGGCUACUGCCUAGUUGAAGAAUGGCCUGACAGGACAGGUGCUAUAUAAUUGUGUACACAACAUAUAUCCUUGAACGAAACUGGAUCACAGAUUUCUACCUAUGAUACUGCAGGCCUUGUUUAGUUCCCAAUUUGGGAGUGGCAAAAUUAGCAUUUUGCCAUAAAUGCGCAACUGUAGCAUUUCGUUUGUAUUUAUGAAUUAUUGUCCAAACAUUGACUAAUUAGGCUCAAAAGAUUCGUCUCGCAAAGUACAACAAAACUGUGCAAUUAGUUUUUGAUUUCAUCUACAUUUAGUACUCCAUGCAUGUACCGCAAGUUUGAUGUGAUGGGGAAUCUUUUUUUUGCAUAGUGCCAAAGUUGGGAUUUUGGAGGGAAGUAAACAAGGGCUGAAGUUCUAACCAGGAGCUGGAAGCAACGGAAGUACAAAACUGCAGAUUCAAUAAUAGAUCUAACCAGAGCAAAGAGCAACACUCAAAAUUAUAACAGAACCACAACAAUGAAAUAUUUUAAUACCUGCAAAAUACAUCUCAUAAUCUUAUGAGCAACAAACGAAUUCAUCGAAACAACUCACUUUAUAUUCGAUGCAGUUGGAUUGCUCUGAACCCACUCUGAAGAAACAUGGCCUUCUGUGAAGGAAACCAAAGCUUUUGGCUUGUGCCCAGCCUCAUCGUGCUAGUGCUCUGAAGCCUCAGAGAGUCAGAGAUCAGAGGAGGGCAUAUGCCACCAUGACCUGGUAUAUAUAUCCAGGAGAGACCAUAGAUGCAGUGCAGUCGAAGGAUGGGCUGAUGGUUCGGCCGUAGCUUUUGGUUUGUUGGCUAGUUGCGGUUCAAAGCAAACCCUGGCUUCUCAUCACCCUCACCUUCCACACGUUGGUUUUUGC